UACGGAGGAUGCAAGCGUUAUCCGGAUUUAUUGGGUUUAAAGGGUGCGUAGGCUGUGCGUCAAGUCAGGGGUGAAAUGCCCGGGCUCAACCCGGGAGCUGCCUUUGAUACUGUCGCGCUGGAAUACUGUUGCCGUGGGAGGAAUGAGUAGUGUAGCGGUGAAAUGCAUAGAUAUUACUCAGAACACCGAUUGCGAAGGCAUCUCACGAAGCAGGCAUUGACGCUGAGGCACGAAAGCGUGGGGAUCAAAC
rnacentral:rRNA from 1 species